rnacentral:rRNA from 1 species
UGCGAGUCGAACGCUCCGCCCUUUUUAGCCCUUCGGGGCUAAGGAGGAUCACGGAGAGUGGCGGACGGGUGAGUAACGCGUAGGUAACCUACCCUGAGGAGAGGGAUAACUCUGCGAAAGCGGGGCUAAUACCUCAUACUGUUAGGGCGUGGCAUCACGCCUUAAUGAAAGCUGGCAUAAAGCCAGUGUCACAGGAGGGGCCUGCGUCGGAUUAGCUAGCUGGUGGGGUAAAGGCCUACCAGGGCGACAAUCCGUAGCUGGUCUGAGAGGACGAUCAGCCACACUGGGACUGAGACACGGCCCAGACUCCUACGGGAGGCAGCAGUGGGGAAUCUUCCGCAAUGGGCGCAAGCCUGACGGAGCGACGCCGCGUGGGUGAAGAAGGCCUUCGGGUCGUAAAGCCCUGUCAGUGGGGAAGAAGGCAGCUGUCGGGAAAUGGGCAGCUGUUGACGGUACCCGUUGAGGAAGCCCUGGCCAACUACGUGCCAGCAGCCGCGGUAACACGUAGAGGGCAAGCGUUGUCCGGAAUUACUGGGCGUAAAGGGCGCGCAGGCGGCAGUGCAAGUCGGGUGUGAAAACCUGGGGCUUAACCCCAGGCGUGCAUUCGAAACUGCAUUGCUUGAGGGCAGCAGAGGAGGACGGAAUUCCUGGUGUAGUGGUGAAAUACGUAGAUAUCAGGAGGAACACCAGUGGCGAAAGCGGUUCUCUGGGCUGGCCCUGACGCUGAGGUGCGAAAGCCGGGGGAGCGAACGGGAUUAGAUACCCCGGUAGUCCCGGCUGUAAACGAUGGACACUAGGUGUUGGGGGUUAAACUCCCUCAGUGCCGCAGUUAACGCAAUA